UGGCUCACCCCUCUUGUUGAUGGCCCACCCAUCCCUACCUAGUAGUAUUAAUUUAUAUGUGCAUUCAAUGCAACAACAUCAGUUUUGGGUGGGGCUAUGAGACUUAACGUGAGAUGAAAAAAGCGUAUAAAAUGAGUUGCAACAACAUCACUACCUAUUAGUUGUUUUGGAGUAGGGCUACGUGCAAGGUCCACCGCGUGAGGGUUUCUCAUGCAAGCAAAUGGUAGGCGGGAAUUUCUAAAAAAAAUUUAAUAAAGAAAUGGUGGACGUACUAGACCCAAUGAUCCGUGGCGUCAGCAUGGAGCCGAAUCCCGUUUAUUUUCCUUGGAUCCAGGACAGCCUGGGUGUUUCGAUUCCGAAUCGGAUCCAUCGAUUUUUCAAUCACUGGUUUAAAGAGAGCAAGAGGUAGACAGAAGAGGGAGGGUUGUAAAAAGACUCACAAAAGAGAAUGGAGGAUUGUAUUUAUGUUUAGUAUAUCUUGA
rnacentral:lncRNA from 1 species